CCUGCCAGCAGAGAGACCCGCGAAC
rnacentral:rRNA from 6 species